CCAAUAGCGUAUAUUAAAGUUGUUGCAGUUAAAAAGCUCGUAGUUGAAUUUCGGGAUCAAUAUGUCGGUCGUGCCUUGGUACGUACUGGUAUCAUUGGUUUCUCCUUUCUGACGAACCAUGAUGUCAUUAAUUUGGUGUUAUGGGAAGUUAGGACUGUUACUUUGAAAAAAUUAGAGUGUUUAAAGCAGGCUUUAGCUUGAAUACAUUAGCAUGGAAUAA
rnacentral:rRNA from 1 species